rnacentral:misc_RNA from 1 species
GAAAUGCGAUAAGUAAUGUGAAUUGCAGAAUUCAGUGAAUCAUCGAAUCUCUGAACGCACAUUGCGCCCGCCAGUAUUCUGGCGGGCAUGCCUGUUCGAGCGUCAUUACAACCCUCAGGCCCCCGGGCCUGGCGUUGGGGAUCGGCGGAAGCCCCCUGCGGGCACAACGCCGUCCCCCAAAUACAGUGGCGGUCCCGCCGCAGCUUCCAUUGCGUAGUAGCUAACACCUCGCAACUGGAGAGCGGCGCGGCUACGCCGUAAAACACCCAACUUCUGAAUGUUGACCUCGAAUCAGGUAGGAAUACCCGCUGAACUUAAGC